GUGUGUGUGUGUGUGUGUGUGUGUGUGUGCGCGCGCACGCGCGCGCGCAAGCGCACGC
rnacentral:miRNA from 1 species